UUUUAAUGAAAAGGAUGACGUGUAUUGCAGUAUUUCCUCAUCUGAACCGAACUAAUUUGAUUCUGAACCGAUUCCCUGAAUCAGGUCAUUACAGUGGACUUCCAGCGAUCACGCAGAUAUUUCAGCAUCACACCAACAGGAAACACACCUUCAGAGAUGCACAACAAAAUGGAAGCCUAGUGCUUCAGUGACAUUUGAGACAUCAUCUUAGGGUUCAGUGAUGAGGACUGGAGAACUGUGAGCGAAGGAAAUAAAACUACAAGAAAAACGCACAGAGACACGCAGCAGGACUCAGGGGUCCCCAGAAGACUUGUUUCCCAAAUUAAAGAAGCGAUGAAACAGACACUCAUGAAGUUCAACUCUGUAAAAACUUCAUUGAAAAUCCACUCGAAGCCUGCAACUGCUGGGAAACCUCGAGUGAGCUUCCUCUGAUCGACGAUCUCGCAGCCUCGUCCACCAAAGCCAUAAUCGCUGCGAUCAUAUGACUUUGCUGUCCGGAUACUUAUUAACAGGUAACAGGUAACAAUGCUUCAUUACGGGAGACAGCAGGCCGUUUUCUGCACAGGAAGUUUGCGGGUUUCUCCAGCAGCAUGAGAUCAGUGUUCUCCUCGCUGAGCCUGAGACGAUGGAUCUGAGGAUCCGGAUCAUGAGAACACUGACUUCCUGACUGUAAAUAAUUUGUAUAUAGUGUACAGACAUGCACCGUUGUGCUCAUCUUAUACAUUUCAUUUACU